GCGUAACGCACUUCUUGGGCGUUUCCUCCCUAGACUGAGGCCGCGGGUCCGCCCGCGGCCCUUUUUUGCGUGAUU
rnacentral:sRNA from 1 species